rnacentral:rRNA from 1 species
AGUGUAAGUAGUCAUUAACGGCCGCGGUAAUUUGACCGUGCUAAGGUAGCGAAAUCAAUUGGCUUUUAAUUGGAGUCAGGAAUGAAUGGGAUCACGUGGUUUAGCUGUCUCCUAACUAAUCACUUGAAAUUACUAUAUAGAUGAAAAAGUCUUUAGUAAGAAAAAAGACGAGAAGACCCUUAGAGUUUUUCUUAAAAUAAAUUUCUACUAUUUAUAAAAGUUUAGUUGGGGCAACUUAAGAAAAUUAUUUGUAACUUCUUUAAUUUAUACUAACCGAUUAUUUUAAAUUUGUGUAAACUACCUUAGGGAUAACAAUUAUGUAAAAAAUAAGUUUGUGACCUCGAUGUUGGACUGGGAAACUAAGAGGCUAGUCGUUUUUU